rnacentral:rRNA from 1 species
UUACCGAGUUAUUCAACUCAUCAACCCUGUGAACAUACCUAAACGUUGCUUCGGCGGGAAUAGACGGCCCCGUAAAACGGGCCGCCCCCGCCAGAAGACCCUUAACUCUGUUUUUAUAAUGUUUAUUUUGAGUAAAACAAGCAAAUAAAUUAAAACUUUCAACAACGGAUCUCUUGGCUCUGGCAUCGAUGAAGAACGCAGCGAAAUGCGAUAAGUAAUGUGAAUUGCAGAAUUCAGUGAAUCAUCGAAUCUUUGAACGCACAUUGCGCCCGCCAGUAUUCUGGCGGGCAUGCCUGUUCGAGCGUCAUUACAACCCUCAGGCCCCCCUUCGUGGCGUUGGGGAUGGGUGGAGCCCCCCGCCCCCAAUUGCUUGGCGGCAAAUACAGGGGUGCUUACGCUGCUGCUUCCAUCGUGUAGUCGGUAACACGUCGCGACCGGAGAGCGGAGCGCCCACUUCUGAAUGUUGCCCUCUGUUCAGAUAGGAAUACCCGCUGAACUUAAGCAUAUCAA